rnacentral:lncRNA from 1 species
GGAAGCUUCCUUUAGUUAACUAAAAAGGAUGUAAAGGAUGGGGUUUUUUUGUACCUUAGGAGGUAGCAAGCACCAGUGAAGGUGAAAAUCAUGAUGGUAAAUACUACAGUUAUGUCUUUAGUUUCUGGCAAUAUAAAUCUUAAACUUUUUUCCCUGAUACAUCCUGAAAACGAGAAAAAGGGGGUAGUGCCCACUCUUGACUAGUUUAUAUAAAACUAUAAGGGAUUAUUGUGCUAAGUCUUUUUGAUGAGCUUUGGAAGAAUUUUCCAAGUUUUGAUGCAUACCUGAGACAUGCUGUGGAUUUAUUGUGGUAUGCAACCCAUCCCUAUUAUCCAUCCCCAUUUUUCAUCCCUGUGCACCACCCAUGUCCACAAAUAUCCCACAUAAACUCAGGCACUGAAAUUUGAAGGGAACUAUGGCCUGUGUCCAUAAGUCAGUCACAGCUAUGGAAAGAGUGUUGAAAAACUUGCUGUACAUAUAGAAACAACAGUAGAGAGCAAACAGCUGUUUUACUUAUUUAUUUACAAAAGCUAUUUUUAAAAUGCAAGAAAUAUAAAUAGUACAAUGAAUGAGACCUUAUAUACAGGCUAUUUAAAUCAUUCUCUAGAGCUGCAUAGUAAGGACACACUGAAUUCCAGAUUAGAGUUAAAAAUGUUUUUAAAUUCACCAGGUGCAUUCCCCCAGGACAUAUAAGCAAUCUACUCUGCAAUUCUGAAAAUGCAGUGUUCUAAAUGUAUUCCAAAUGUUGAUUGUUCAUGGCUUUUCUAUUGGAGAAAUCUUGCAUUUAUCUUCCCCUUCUCCACCACCCCAGAAUCCACAGAAGCCAUAAAUGGGAGAAUAGCCAAAGUUUUCAAGGCACAAAGUGAUAAGUUUUACUGAUGGAAAACAAAAUGUUCAAGAAAGACAUCUUCCACUUCCAUAAAAAACAUAUUUGGGGGCAUUUAAUUAGUCAUAGCUUUUAGUUAUUCCAGCAGUAAAAUAAACCAUGGCUUUGCUGUGGGGUAUUGCUUCUC